rnacentral:rRNA from 1 species
AUGCCUCGUCAUCUAAUUAGUGACGCGCAUGAAUGGAUUAACGAGAUUCCUUCUGUCCCUAUCUACUUCUAGCGAAACCACAGCCAAGGGAACGGGCUUGGAAUAAUUAGCGGGGAAAGAAGACCCUGUUGAGCUUGACUCUAGUCUGGCAGUGUAAGGAGACAUAAGAGGUGUAGCAUAAGUGGGAGAUAUAUUAGUUUCUACUAUAUAUAUCAACAAUGAAAUACCACUACUCUUAUUGUUUCCUUACUUACUUGAUAAAAUGGAACGUGUAUCAUUCACUUAGCCAUUACACGAAUAUAUUUAUAUGUAUAUUUUAUGGUAUUUUGUUUUGAUGCGAGCUUCUUGUUUAAAGUACCAAGAGUUUGUUAUAUACACCAAACAAAUAUCAUUUAAAUUUGCUUAUCAUUAAUAAUGGUUUGUUAAAUAUUAAUUGAAUUUGGUAUAACUCUUAUACUCAGGUAUGAUCCAAUUCAAGGACAUUGCCAGGUGGGGAGUUUGACUGGGGCGGUACAUCUCUCAAAUAAUAACGGAGGUGUCCCAAGGCCAGCUCAGUGCGGACAGAAACCACACAUAGAGCAAAAGGGCAAAUGCUGACUUGAUCUCGGUGUUCAGUACAUACAGAGACAGCAAAAGCUCGGCCUAUCGAUCCUUUUGGUUUAAAGAGUUUUUAACAAGAGGUGUCAGAAAAGUUACCACAGGGAUAACUGGCU